UACGGAGGGGGCUAGCGUUGUUCGGAAUUACUGGGCGUAAAGGGCGCGUAGGCGGCGUGUUAAGUCAGCUGUGAAAUCUCCGAGCUUAACUCGGAACGGUCAGCUGAUACUGAUGUGCUAGAGUGCAGAAGGGGCAAUCGGAAUUCUUGGUGUAGCGGUGAAAUGCGUAGAUAUCAAGAGGAACACCUGAGGUGAAGACGGGUUGCUGGGCUGACACUGACGCUGAGGCGCGAAAGCCAGGGGAGCAAACGGG
rnacentral:rRNA from 1 species